AUGGCUCAGGACGAACGGCUGGCGGCGUGCUUAACACAUGCAAGUCAACGGGAGAUUGAAGAAGCUUGCUUUAGAGAUACUUUAGUGGCGGACGGGUGAGUAACGCGUGAGGAGCUGUCCUAUGCAGGGGGACAACAGCUGGAAACGGCUGCUAAUACCCCAUAAGCCGAGAGGUAAAAGGAUCAAUCCGGCAGUGGAGGUACUCGCGUCCUAUCAGCUAGUAGGUGAGGUAACGGCUCACCUAGGCGAAGACGGGUAGCCGGCCUGAGAGGGCGAACGGCCACACUGGAACUGAGAUACGGUCCAGACUCCUACGGGAGGCAGCAGUGGGGAAUAUUGGGCAAAUGGGGGGAAACCCUGACCCAGCGACGCCGCGUGGGUGAAGAAAUCCUUCGGGAUGUAAAGCCCUGUUGUAUGGGAAGAGCGGAAGACGGUACCAUACGAGGAAGCCCCGGCAAACUACGUGCCAGCCGCCGC
rnacentral:rRNA from 1 species